AUACAGAGGGUGCAAGCGUUAAUCGGAUUUACUGGGCGUAAAGCGCGCGUAGGCGGCUAAUUAAGUCAAAUGUGAAAUCCCCGAGCUUAACUUGGGAAUUGCAUUCGAUACUGGUUAGCUAGAGUGUGGGAGAGGAUGGUAGAAUUCCAGGUGUAGCGGUGAAAUGCGUAGAGAUCUGGAGGAAUACCGAUGGCGAAGGCAGCCAUCUGGCCUAACACUGACGCUGAGGUGCGAAAGCAUGGGGAGCAAACAGGAUUAGAAACCCUAGUAGUCC
rnacentral:rRNA from 1 species